CUUUAGACUACAGGCCGGUGCCACUUUGACACCGCUCGUGCCCCUCACUCUCGAGGAGUUUGUGUGAAUGCAUUGGAGACUCGGCUCUUACUCUCGCCGGCCCUCGCAAGGAUUGGAAGGUUAACCGGGCCUAGAGAGAAGUGCUGCAUGGUCCCACAGCCGUGUUGGUAAACGGGGCGUUGUGCGCAGAAUUCCGCUUCAUAAUCUCCCCGACAUCUCCAGUCACCACGGAGCAGCUCAUAUCCUCCUCGUGUUUCGUCUUCGUCACCAUUGCAUACAUUUGUUCUUGUUUCAUGACCUGUGGCCCAUCACCAUGGCUUACAAAUCACGCUUUUCAUUUUGGGAACAAAAGGUUAAAGUUGAGAACAAGCCAGAUCCCGAUGUAGAUGCUAGUCAGCUACAGGCAGUUACUAAACCUGGGCUAGACACAGGAAGUGCAUCAUCGGCAGACGACACCAAUAAUAGCGCCGCCAUGGAUGGUCCAGACGCUCCAGGAGAGGGGCAGAAGUCCGCCGGUAGAAAGGUGGUGAAGGUUGUGAGAAAAGUUGUAAGACGUGUUGUUCCCGCAGCGACGCGAGAGCAGAAUCGGCCGGCUGUGUCCGAAGCUGCCAAAGCUACCGGCGCACUUCAAACUACAAAGUCUUCAGGGGAGGACAAGGAUGACAUCUCCAUGGGCCUGACCAGCCUCAUGGGCAGAGGAAGAACCAAGGAACACCGGCCUCGCACCCGCAAAGAAGAUGUGAACAAGGAGCUCAAGCAGGAGGAAGAUAAAGGAAAGGUAGAAGGAGAGGAGGAGAAUGUAGAAAUAAUUGAGGAUUCCACAUCCACUGCUGCGCCCGAGAGCGCAUCACCAAAUACUGUAGCACCAAAUUCAAACCCCCUCACGCCACCCCCCGGCUUUAUACCGUCGCCCAAACCCGACCCUUUGACCCCACCUGCUGGCUUCAUCCCCGCCCCGAAGCGGAAUCUCUCGACUCCUCCGCUUGGUUUCAUACCCGCCGGAAAAUCCAGUCCAGUCCCACUAAAACACAAUCUUCUGGCAAGACCCGCAUGUUUCAUCCCCGCCCCAAAGACAGAUCCUCUGGCCCCUCCUGCAGGGUUCAUCCCCAAACCUCGCCCAGUAGCAGCCAAGAAACCCGAGGAGACCCCUUGUCCAACUGUGGCCCCCAACGGCAAACCGUCCCACGUCGCGUCCCUCCAGGCUCGUUCUUCCUCAAGCGAACAGGUGUGUGUGUGUGUUCAUCUUUCCAUUUUCUGCAUUUCUGCAAGCGCAUUUCAUUGGAUGCCUUUCCAACGCAUGGAAUUGCUGGCCCUGCGCUUGCAGGUCCCAGAGAUCUUUCCCACUGAGGAAGAUUACAUGCGUGUGAAAAGGAUCUUCACCAUCACGAGCAAUGAUCGUGCGAGAGGCCGCAAAUCCUCUCAGCCCAAGCUCUCUGAGGACGCAGUGGCCAUUCUUCAAGCAUCACACUUGGCAGCAAAGGCAAAGAAUGAAGAGAACAUUGCGUCCGAGAGAGCCUGGUACCACACUGAAAAAGUGUGGCUUGUCCACAAGGAUGGAUUCUCUUUGGCAACGCUCCUGAAGACAGAAGCGGGCAGUCUGCCCGAGGGGAAGGUGAAAAUACGCCUGGACAGUGACGGAUCUUUAUUAGAUGUCGAUGAAGAUGACGUGGAGAAGGCGAACCCGCCGGUGUUUGAGCGAGUGGAGGACCUGGCCUCUCUUCAGUACUUGAACGAGUCCAGCGUGAUGCACUCCCUGCGGCAGCGAUACGGCGGCAACCUGGUGCACACGCACGCUGGGCCCAACAUGCUGGUCAUUAACCCCAUCAGUGCUCCUUCCAUGUACUCGGAGAAGGUGAUGCAAAUGUUUAAAGGCUGCAGAAGGGAGGACACCGCCCCCCACAUUUACAGCAUGGCUCAGUCUGCCUAUAGGAAGCUCUUGACCACUCGCCAGGAUCAGUCCGUCGUCUUACUGGGCAAGAGCGGCAGUGGCAAGACUACAAACUGUCAACACAUCGUUCAGUACCUGGUCACCAUUGCUGGCAGCGCAACCAAAACCUUCUGCAUGGAGAAGUGGCAGGCGGUGUACACCGUUUUGGAGGCAUUUGGGAAUGCGUCCAGCUGCAUGAACGGCAAUGCCAGCCGCUUCUCCCAUAUUGUUUCUUUGGAUUUUGACCACUCGGGCCUGGUGACCUCAGCUUCUAUCCAGACAAUGCUCCUGGAGAAGAUCAGGGUGACAAGAAGACCAGAGGGCGAGUCCACUUUUCACGUGUUUUACUACCUAAUGGCCGCCGUCGACAGCUCUCUCAGAACUGAGCUGCACCUCAACCACUUUGCUGAAAACAAUGCUUUUGGGAUUACGCCUCAGACAAAGGUGGAGGACAAGCAGCGGGCAUCCCAACAGUUUUCCAAGCUGCAAGCAGCCAUGAAGGUUCUGGGGGUCAGUACUGAUGAACAAAGAGCUUUUUGGCUAGUCCUGGGGGCCAUCUACCACCUGGGAGCUGCAGGGGCUACUAAAGACAUUAUCCAGAGUGUCAGAGAGAGAAUGAUCACAAAUACAAGGCCAGCCAUGUGCAAACGUGCGGUUGGCAGAAUGGCUAAUGAAGGUCUUCAUGCAUGCUUCUCAGCUGGCAGGAAACAAUUUGCACGUCACGAGUGGGCCCAGAAGGCGGCCUACCUGCUGGGCUGUACCCUGGAGGAGCUCUCCUCCUCCAUCUUCAAGCACCAGGCCACGGGCGCCCUGCCCAGAGCCGGCAGCAUCCGCCAAACUUCGGACGAAAAUGGCACAGCGGACGCAGCAGGUUCCAAGGCUUCGGCCAUGGAAUGUUUAGAGGCCAUGGCCACAGGGCUGUACUCUGAACUCUUCACAAUCCUCAUUUAUUUAAUAAACCGGGCCUUGAAAUCCAGCCAGCUUCCCUUGUGCUCUUUGCUCGUUGUGGACACACCGGGUUUUCAAAACCCCAGGCUGGUAACGCACGAUCGCGGCGCCACCUUCGACGACCUAUGCCACAACUACACCCAAGAACGUCUGCAGACGCUCUUCUACCAGCGCACCUUCGUUCAGGAGCUGGAGAGAUACAAAGAGGAGAACAUCGAGAUUGCCCUCGACGACACGGAACCCAACACAUCUUUUUCCGUGGCAGUGGUGGAUCAAGCUUCAAGCCAAGCACUUGUGCGCAGCGGCCGGACAGAUGAGGCCCGCGGGCUCCUGUGGCUGAUGGAGGAGGAGGUUCUGCAGCCUGGAGCGUCGGAGGAAACCCUACUGGCUCGCCUUUUCAGCUACUACGGCCCCGCUGAAGGCGAGAUCAAAGGUCACACUUUCCUCCUGAAGAGUGAAAAAGAUAAUCACUUCCUGCUGGGCCACAGUCACGGGACUGACUGGGUAGAGUACGAUGCCCGCGGGUGGCUUAACUACGCCAAGCAAAAUCCUGCCUCGACCAACGCGAUGCGCCUCCUGCAGGACUCCCAGAAGAAGAUCAUCAGCUCUUUGUUCAUGAGCCGAGCGGGUGGAGCCACCGUUCUGUCAGGUUCCAUUGCGGGUCUGGAGGGCGUUUCCCAGCUGUCUUUGCGACGGGCCUCCAGCAUGAGGAAGACCUUCACUUCAGGAGUGGCUGCUAUCAAGAAGUCUGUGUGCAUACAAAUAAAGCUUCAAGUGGAUGCUCUGCUUGACAUGGUGCGGAGGUCCAGAAUUCACUUUGUUCACUGCAUAUUGCCCAAGGCGGACGCUCUUAAGCCUCUGAGUGGAUCCUUCUUCAAAGGUGUCGAAAGCGAGACUCACGGGGAGGGUGGAGAUUGUGGUUUAAUGCAACUGGAUGUACCCUUGCUCCGUGCUCAACUGCGUGGAUCCAAGCUCCUCGACGCUCUCCGGAUCCAUAGACAAGGAUACCCCGACCACAUGGUGUUCUCUGAGUUUCGCCGCCGUUUCGACGUGCUGGCGCCGCACCUCACCAAGAAGCACGGGCGGAAUUACAUUGUGAAGGACGAGCAGAGAGCUGUGGAGGAGCUGCUGGAGUCCUUGGAUUUGGAGAAGAGCAGUUACCACAUGGGUGUGAGCAGGUUGUUCUUCAAAUCUGGAAUCUUGGCUAAAUUGGAAGAGCAGAGGGAUGAGCAAACCAAACGUAAUUUAAUCCUAUUCCAAGCUGCUUGUAGAGGUUAUCUGGCACGACAGGCCUUUAAAAAGAGAAAGAUUCAGGAUCUAGCAAUUCGUUGCAUCCAGAAGAACAUCCAGAAAAAUCGUGGAGUAAAAGACUGGCCAUGGUGGAAGCUCUUCACUACGGUCCAGCCACUCAUUAAGGUGCAGCUCACUGAGGACCAGAUGCGGAGCAAAGAUGAGGAGAUCCAAAUGCAGAAGUCAAAGUUGGAGAAGGUGGAGAAAGAGCGCAACGGGCUGAGACUGAACACAGAUCGACUGGAGAGCAGGAUUGCAGACUUGUUGGCAGAACUCGCUGAUGAGAGGAGCACCAGCGAGUCAGCAUCCCAGCUGCUGGAGAACGAGACGGCUGAGAGACUACGCUUGGAGAAGGACAUAAAAGAGCUGCAGGCAAAGUUCGAUGCUAUGAAGAAACAAAUGGAAGCACAGGAGGUGGAGGUGAUGGAAGCUCGGCUGAUGAAAACAUCGGAGCUCAACGGGGAGCUGGACGACGACGAUGAUGAUGCCGGAGGUGAGUGGCGCAUAAAAUACAACAGAGCCAUUCGGGAAAUGGAGUUCACCAAAAAGAAACUCCAGCAAGAGUUUGAAGACAAGCUGGAAACGGAGCAGCAGAGCAAAAGACAUCUUGAGAGAAGGCUGGCCGAUUUGAAGACAGACAAUGAGGAUGUGCAGCACUCUGUGCAGCAGCUGAAGAAGAAGUGCCAGAAGAUGACGGCUGAACUGCAGGAUACGCGACGUCAUCUGGAGGGCCUCCAGAGCCGCAACCACGAUUUGGAAAAGAAGCAGAGGAAAUUUGAUCUUGAGCAGAACCAGGCCCAGUCUGAGGUACAAAGAGAGAGGAGUCUGAGGGAGAAGUUGGCUCGAGAGAAAGACAUAAUGGCGGCUGAGAUAUUCAACAUCCAGCAGCAGCUUCAGGAAAAGGACGCUGACUUGUGCGCUGCCAACAUAAAGGUGCAGCAGCUGGAGGCCGAAUUGCAGGAUCUCUCUUCACAGGAGUCCAAGGAUGAAGCAUCGCUGGCCAAGGUCAAGAAGCAGCUUCGUGAUCUUGAGGCCAAGGUGAAAGACCAAGAGGAGGAGUUGGACGAGCAGGCCGGAACCAUCCAGAUGCUGGAGCAGGCUAAGCUGCGGCUUGAGAUGGAGAUGGAAAGGCAGCGCCAGAGCCACUCGAAAGACAUCGAGAGCAAGGAUGAGGAGGUGGAUGAGAUCAGGCGGUCCUGCAGUAAGAAGUUGAAACAGAUGGAGGUGCAGCUGGAGGAAGAAUACGACGAUAAGCAAAAAGUGCUGCGCGAGAGACGUGAUCUGGAGUCCAAACUGCUGAGCGCACAGGACCAGGUGAGCCACAGGGACGUGGAGAGCGAGAAGAGGCUGAGGAAAGACCUGAAGAGAACCAAAGUCCUGCUGGCUGAUGCUCAGAUUAUGCUGGACCACCUGAAGAGUAACGCGCCAAGCAAGCGAGAGAUCACCCAGUUCAAAAAUCAACUGGAGGAGUCCGAGUUCACUUGUGCGGCGGCAGUGAAGGCCCGGAAGAGCAUGGAGUUGGAGAUAGAGGACUUGCAUAUCCAAAUGGAGGACGUGGCGAAGGCCAAACUGUCGUUGGAGGAGCAGGUGAGCCGCCUUCAGCGAGAGAAGAACGACAUGCAGGCUCGCACAGACGAAGACCAGGAGGACAUGAAUGAACUGAUGAAGAAGCACAAAGCCGCCGUCGCCCAGUCUGCCAGAGAUUUAGGCCAGAUCAGUGACCUGCAGGCGCAGCUGGAGGAGGCCACCAAGGACAAGCAGGAGAUUCAAGAAAAGCUUCAUUCGCUGCAGAGUCAGCUGGAGUUUCAGGAACAAUCCAUGGUGGAAAAGUCUCUUGUGAGCCGUCAGGAGGCCAAGAUCCGUGAGCUGGAAACCAAACUGGAGUAUGAGAGGACACAGCUCAAACGUUUGGAGAGCCUGGUGGGUCGUCUGAAGGAGAACCUUGAGAAGACGUCCGAUGAUAGAAACCAACACAUUGCUGCAGAGAAUAGAGAGAAGGAGCAGAAUAAGAGGAUGCAGAGACAAAUAAGGGACAUCAAGGAAGAAAUGGCAGACGUGUCCAAGAAGGAAGUGGAGGCGAGCCGAAAGAAACACGAGCUGGAAAUGGACAUUGAGAGUUUAGAGGCGGCAAAUCAGAGCUUACAAGUGGAUCUCAAACUGGCCUUUAAGAGGAUAGGCGACCUGCAGGCGGCCAUCGAGGACGAAAUGGAGAGUGACGACAAUGACGACUUAAUCAACAGUUUGCAAGACAUGGUGACAAAGUAUCAGAAAAGAAAGAACAAAACUGGGCAAGAGACAGACACAGAUUCUGAGGUGGAGGACCGUGUGGAUGGGGUCAAGUCUUGGCUCUCCAAGAACAAAGCUUACUCCAAGCUCCAGUCGGACGAGGGAAGUCUGAAGAGUGCCAGCCCUUCUGUGUCCAGGCGACAAAUGACCCCCGGAAGAUCUGACAAAGAGGACGAAGUGGACUUAAACGCCGACAGGCAGCUGUUGAGGCCGAGCCACGAUCCUAAUUCCAAUUCGGGAGUCAUGCUGUUGCUGAGAACUGCUGCCAAACAUACAGUUGUCCUUAAUUCUGCAUGUUCGGCACAGGAGCCCACUAUAUGCUAUAAGGAAGAAGUACAUUUUUACCAACAUUUGAUCCUUGGAAAAACCCAACCAGUCAUUCACAGAGGAGAACCAUUCACCACCCAGCAGCAAGAGAUUGACAGUGAGACAUCGAGGUAAUCAAGCGAGCGUGGUACCGGUGAGGAGUAUGCUGACAUUCGCCGUUUCUUUUUGGCGUCUCUGUCUCGCUGUGCAUGCGAGCCUGAGUGACGAGAUACUGACAUUUACAAUCUCCGGCACUGAAGUGUGGCUCAGCAUGUUAGUGGGUGGUCUUCGUCAUCACUGUGUCCAGCUUGUAAGAAGUGAAGUGGAUCUGAAGGAAGCCCCGUCUCGCUCGGGCUUGUCCCUCAAGGGACUGCCUGAGAGCGCUCAAAGUGGCCGCCACAAAAUGGAGCAACCCGGCUGAUGAAUGGCCUCUGACAUGAUAUGUGACUGCUGGCUUCUUCCCUCAGGUCUUUACAGGUUGUGUUUGGUCAAGUGACCUCAGUUUCUUGUUCAUCCCCCGAGUCCUAAUCUGCUGUCCGAGUGUAAAUAUGAUCCAUGAAAGAGCGCGGCGGAAUCCGAGUCUUAGAACAAGGCUGAGUAAAUCUUCCAUAUUUGUUUCACCUGUUGAUGUCCAAUGCAUUGAAACACACUUUUUACAUAUUUGUUCACUAAAUGACAUUUGUGAUGCAAGUUAUCAUAUAACUAUAUUGUAUGUCAGUGCAUUUAUCAUAGAAUCAUAGAGUAUUUGAACUAAAAUGUGAAAGAUUCUGGACAGGAACACAAUAGAUAGGAGUAUGUCUGUGUAGAUUCUCAACGUUAUCCAGGUCAUGGUAAGCCACAUUCGUUGAAUUGAGGCAACUGGGCUUUUCUUGUUUGUUGAAGAUGUUUCACUUGAAAUCCAAAGGGCUUGUUCAGAUCUCAAUUUUCGAUGUGGAGUCUCUCUAUUUAUGCCCCAGAGGGUGUGUCCCAUGGGGAUGGCUUGUGAAUGAGUCAUCACCUGGUGGCAAAACAGCUUGUUACGGCCACUCUUCCCGUAAAGUGAGCCAAUCGUUGGGGGGAGGGAUGUCCGGUCAUUGUUAUACACAACACAUAGAUAGGUCGAAACAGACUCGGGGAUUUGUGGCAUCGCCAAUCACCUAACAAGCUGCUUUGCCACCAGGUGAGUGAUUGACCGACUGGGACAGUUGUCUACAAAGCACGGCGGGCAACAGCAACACCCUAUUGUGACCACGCCCUCCGAGGCAUGAAUAGGGAGUCCCGGGUAAAGUUAAAGGUGAAAGAUCUUUAACAAAGGAGAAAGGUCCGGGGGCUUAAUUUCACCCUUUCCGGAUUACCACAGGAAUACCUCGGGAUAGGCACGACAAUUAAUUAAUAGAUAAGACAGUAUGCUCCUAUGCCUCCAAAAUGACCAAAGGCUAUUCCUUCAUUAAGCUGACCUCAGGAGGAAGGACAAGGAGAAUGCGCAGCACGCAUGUCUUUAGGCUGUGUUUACACUGUGUGAUUCACCCAAUGCUAUUUUUUCCCCCUUCCACGCGGCCCAGUUCAGAUAGAAGCAAACGCAUCGUUUGGAUACACCGAGCUGUCCUGUUAUUAUCCAAAUGCACUGAUUGAGGAUACGUACGCAUAUUACUUCCCUGACAAACACUCACAGUUCUGAAUUGACUUUGAGAACCAAUGCCACUUAAUUGACAAGCACUCCAUGAUCGUUUUGGUGCAUGAAUAUUGCCACCCUUGUUGUAGUGACUAUGCUAAACCUCUAUUGAAAGCUCUUGCGCCUCUGAUUUCACUUACACGAGAAACCUCCUGACCAGAAACACUGAAUCGUUUGCAAAUGACUUCAGCACGUAGUCAAGUUCUUGUGUCCACUUAUGGCUCAGAGUUUUGGAAUUCCAUCAGCACACCUCAUUACCUUUUAUUGGGUGCAAACCGUGAAGGCAGUUGGUUCAAUCCUGCAGUCAAAUAUCUAAUUUCUAAGUAUCCAAUAAUGUAAUUUGAUGUUUUCUGCAAUUUCUCCUCUCCUCUACUAUGCUGUGCAAAUCACUCCAGUCAAAAAUGGGUCGCUGAACCUCCAUAACCAAGCGAGCCACCAGACGCUGACACAAUACAUUUCCCUCUACAUGAGAGCUACUCUGGCAAAGAGACACACUGAGAAAUUAGAUUUGGCAGGUCAUUCAGUUUCCCCCUCGGGGAAUCUGCAACUUUGGGACAGCAUGCGUUUAUUUUUUCAUUUUUUUAGCUCAAAAUAAACUCUUCAUUAACAAUAAAGUGUAGUGGUGCAGUGCAUAGCAAUUCUCUUAAACCUUUUCAUGCGAUGAGGGGUGAAAACAACUAUUUACUAAUCAAAAAGGCAUGCUGGGCGGUAUCUGAAUUGGAGCUUUGAAAACCGCAACUUUCUCUCUCGGUAAACUGCAUUGGCGUGCCACUCGAAAGUGAAAGAUGGAAGGCAUCCAGCGAAAACACGAAAGCUGAUUUCAUGUCGGGGAAAGAACUUUGCUUCUUUUUCUCCAGUUGUGCCGGCUUUAGCCUCACCUCCAACUUGGCCCUGAGCUGGUGGCACUGCCCAGGGAUAAUCUCCCAGACACAGCGCUUCCAGAUUAUUCAUGUAUGUCCACUGCAUCUCCCAUGGCAACGAACGGCAAACUAGAGGAGCUCGUCAAUGAACUCUCGCACCUCUUCAUGCUAAGGUGGCGCUCAAAUGAUUUCCACUUAAAUGUUCCAGUGCUGAAUGAGUCUGACUUUGGUAGAACACACAAAGGAAUCGGUCAAUCAUAAAAGGGGGAAACAGCUUGCUACUCUUACAGACAGAAACACGCGGUAUGUGAUUAGUGACAUGGCGAUUAAGACUGGUGCUGCGUGCAGACCGACCAAAUGACUGAUUUUGUAUUUGUGAUUGUGCUAAAAGCGUUAUGCAGCAUCCUGGAUGGUUUGAAACCCUAAGUAAAAUUCUGUGUUUUUUUUAAGGUCCAAAAAAGAUAUGUGAGGGAGGGGCUGGGGGGAAGAACACCUGGUCACCCAAACAGUAUGCGGUGUUAGAGUGUUAGAGGAUCAAUAGUCCAAUAUUUACUUCAUUCAUAAUUUAACACUUCUGCAAUAUGCAUUACAUCAUUUCCUUUAUUCCUCUACAAGAUAAAUGUUCCACUCUUCUAUUAAUCAAGACAUAAACAUGAAUCUGCCAUUAUGAUGACCUCAGCUUUCAUUGACACAAACUGCAUGCAAGAGUUACAACAUGCAAGCUGCCCCUCGGAACCUGAGGCAACCGAAACCAGAUAAAUCAGGUUUGUCUUGACAGAGGAAACCCACUGAACGUGAAAAUUCAAGAAUGACACACAGUAGAUACCAUCAGCAAGUCAUUGCCACAUUUGUCAUGAGCAACAAUAUCUGGAUUUCUCUUCCCAGCUUUACUGGCACUGCUCACUUGUUUAAUUUGUCUAAUAAUGUUUCGCAGUGGAAUAUGUGCAGUGAAUGAUGAAGAACUAUCGUACUGUCGUGGAGCACUUGCGUCGCACUUUUCUUUAUCAGUUCAGACACCAAUCACUUACACUCAAUCUCGCUAGAUUCCACGCUACAAAAGGUCUCCAUUUAUCCAUUUCAACUUGAUUGAUGGAUGACCUUCAGCUUCUCUGGGUAACAAACGAGUGCUGACAAGUAAUUGCCCUGUGCGAAAACCAUCGGCUUCACAUUGCUGCUGAUGAAGAAUUUUGUACUGAGCAAAGGUGAAAACCUUACUUACGAGGUUUCAGGUGUCAACUUUCCGAAGAAAUUGUAAUAUUUUCUUAACAAUAUUUAACCGAGGCAAAUCAUCCAAUGCACCCCUUAUAUUUCAUGUGAUUCAAAGUCCCAAAUCACAAGGAAUAAAAUAUACAAAUCACUCAUCAACCUGCAUGACACUCACCGACCAACAUACUACUGUAUGUCCAGUUUGUAGAUCUGACAAGUUAUUACUUCAAAAAAUGAAUGAUAAUUAUAUAAGCAUAUGAGGUUUAACCCAAAGAGCAAAGACAAGUUUCAUACUUUGAUUAUACACCGAAAUAACCACGUAUCACAGUGUUUUCUUCUUACAAUGCAGAAGUUUGGCAAUAAAAAGAGGGGCAAAUCCAAAAAUUGAA